rnacentral:rRNA from 1 species
UACAGAGGGUGCAAGCGUUGUUCGGAAUUAUUGGGCGUAAAGCGCGUGUAGGCGGCUUGGCAAGUCGGGUGUGAAAGCCCUCGGCUCAACCGAGGAAGUGCGCCCGAAACUGCCUUGCUCGAGUGCCGGAGAGGGUCGCGGAAUUCCCCAAGUAGAGGUGAAAUUCGUAGAUAUGGGGAGGAACACCGGUGGCGAAGGCGGCGACCUGGACGGUAACUGACGCUGAGACGCGAAAGCGUGGGGAGCAAACAGG